AGUAGAAUUGUUUGUUCAUACCCUAUGUUUAACUUUUUGAGGAACUGCCAAAUUGUUUCCCAAAGAGGCUGCAUCCUUUUACAUUCUCACCAACAAU
rnacentral:pre_miRNA from 1 species